rnacentral:rRNA from 1 species
GGUUAAGCGACUAAGCGUACACGGUGGAUGCCCUGGCAGUCAGAGGCGAUGAAGGACGUGCUAAUCUGCGAUAAGCGUCGGUAAGGUGAUAUGAACCGUUAUAACCGGCGAUUUCCGAAUGGGGAAACCCAGUGUGUUUCGACACACUAUCAUUAACUGAAUCCAUAGGUUAAUGAGGCGAACCGGGGGAACUGAAACAUCUAAGUACCCCGAGGAAAAGAAAUCAACCGAGAUUCCCCCAGUAGCGGCGAGCGAACGGGGAGGAGCCCAGAGCCUGAAUCAGUGUGUGUGUUAGUGGAAGCGUCUGGAAAGGCGCGCGAUACAGGGUGACAGCCCCGUACACAAAAAUGCACAUGCUGUGAGCUCGAUGAGUAGGGCGGGACACGUGGUAUCCUGUCUGAAUAUGGGGGGACCAUCCUCCAAGGCUAAAUACUCCUGACUGACCGAUAGUGAACCAGUACCGUGAGGGAAAGGCGAAAAGAACCCCGGCGAGGGGAGUGAAAAAGAACCUGAAACCGUGUACGUACAAGCAGUGGGAGCACGCUUAGGCGUGUGACUGCGUACCUUUUGUAUAAUGGGUCAGCGACUUAUAUUCUGUAGCAAGGUUAACCGAAUAGGGGAGCCGAAGGGAAACCGAGUCUUAACUGGGCGUUAAGUUGCAGGGUAUAGACCCGAAACCCGGUGAUCUAGCCAUGGGCAGGUUGAAGGUUGGGUAACACUAACUGGAGGACCGAACCGACUAAUGUUGAAAAAUUAGCGGAUGACUUGUGGCUGGGGGUGAAAGGCCAAUCAAACCGGGAGAUAGCUGGUUCUCCCCGAAAGCUAUUUAGGUAGCGCCUCGUGAA